AUUUAAAUAGUGUAAUUUUAAACACGUAACAUUUUCAUUGUUAAAUUCCCUCCGGUUUAAAUU
rnacentral:tRNA from 1 species